rnacentral:rRNA from 1 species
AGUGAACGCUGGCGGUAGGCCUAACACAUGCAAGUCGAACGGCAGCACAGUAAGAGCUUGCUCUUACGGGUGGCGAGUGGCGGACGGGUGAGGAAUACAUCGGAAUCUACUUUUUCGUGGGGGACAACGUAGGGAAACUUACGCUAAUACCGCAUACGACCUACGGGUGAAAGCAGGGGAUCUUCGGACCUUGCGCGAUUGAAUGAGCCGAUGUCGGAUUAGCUAGUUGGCGGGGUAAAGGCCCACCAAGGCGACGAUCCGUAGCCGGUCUGAGAGGAUGAUCAGCCACACUGGAACUGAGACACGGUCCAGACUCCUACGGGAGGCAGCAGUGGGGAAUAUUGGACAAUGGGCGCAAGCCUGAUCCAGCCAUACCGCGUGGGUGAAGAAGGCCUUCGGGUUGUAAAGCCCUUUUGUUGGGAAAGAAAAGCAGCAGGCUAAUACCCCGCUGUUCUGACGGUACCCAAAGAAUAAGCACCGGCUAACUUCGUG